GGCCUGAAUGAGGGAUCAUAGAAUCCAUUUCCUUCACUUUUAAUCUUUUGUAUGACCCAUAAUGUGUGUGUGUGUGUGUGUGUGUGUGUGUGUGUGUGCCUACAGGAAUGGUGUCGGCUCCGGAGGACACAAGAGGAGCUGAAAGCGAGAGAAGAGGAGUGGAAGAAAGAGAGAUCCUUCCUUCAAGAGCAGCUCAAUGGCGUCAGAGAGGAGCUCCACCGCGCCAACCUCAAGGAAGAAGAGCAUCGGCUGAAAAUGCUUCAGAUUGAUGAACUCCAAGGAGAGGUUGACAAGACACUGGCACUGCUUGAAAAGGAGAGGAUUGUGUAAAGGCCGAGGAGCUGGAACGACUGAGAGAAGAGCAACUCAAGGACAAGGUCAGGCAUCAAGAAGAGCUGAUCGCAGAGCUGCAGAAAGAGCUGGAAAAGGCUGGAUUUGACCAGAAGGAGAAAGAGCUUAAGGAAUGGAAAGAGCGCUGGUACUCCAUCUCAGAGAGCCUCCGGCACGCACACACAGCUCCAGCAGGCCCAGGACAGCCUGGAAAUACAGCAGGAGAAGAACCACAGCCUGCAGGAUGAUGUGGAUAAACUUCGUACUGCGGUGAGGACAGAGGAC
rnacentral:lncRNA from 1 species